rnacentral:lncRNA from 1 species
UAGCCCCUACAGCUAAGCUUCUCCUAUAUGCAUAUUCUUGCUAUCUGUAAAGUUCUUUUAUCUAUUCUCUAGCCUUGUUAUAUUGUACUCUAUUUACACUUUCAAUUGUGCUAUAUUUACAAUCUUGCUUCAACUGUUUUAUCAUCUCCUGUGGAUGAGGAACCCUUAGUUGCCAUAACGCUUCAUUCCUAGCCUUCCAGAUUCCAUAGACAAGUGCUGCUAGUACAGCCAUAAUAAAGGAUCUAUUCACUCUUCCCUUCACAUUUCUCAUGAUUCUUCUCCAUAAGCCUAGCAUCUCUGUGUUUCUCACACUUAUUUUCAACCACUAGAGGAUUUCAGUUAGGUAUAUCUUAGAGAAUUGGCACUCAAACAUUAGGUGCUCUACUGAUUCAGGUAAGCUCUCGCAUAAAAGGCAUGUAAUAUCUUGGCAUAUUCCCAUUAUACUCAGCCUCUCUCUUGUCUGUAGUUUCUUGUGAACAACCAACCAGCGGAUGAGUCUAUGUUUGGGUAUAUUCAUAUUGUUCUACACCCAUCUACUCUUAGACCAUCUUGGUGCAUUCCUUUUAAGCCAGCUAUAUCCCCCACCAAUUGGUGUAUUUAGCAGUGCAAGUUAGCCAUCCAUUCUGGAUAUACCCAGUUUCCAACUUAUCUCUCAUUAUGUAGAUUUUUUUCCAGUACCAACAUAAGUCCUGAGGCUGUCUAUAUUCCCACCAAUCCCUCCCCUUCAGGUACACAUGAUCAACACAUUUUACCCACAAGUUGUCUUCUUUCUUUGCUAUAUCCUAUACAUAUUUUUCAAUUGUAGUUUCAUUCCAUUUUACAUAGUCUCUGAUCCCCAAUCCUCCUUUCUUUUUAUGUCUAGUAACCACAUCCCAUGCCACUAGAGGUGUUCUAUUUGUUUCUACUUUACCAUUCCAAAGGAAGUUCCAACAGAUUGCUGCAAUUCUCUUCAUCACCAGUUUUGGAAGAAUGAAGAUCGAUGCCCAGUAUAUGUGUACAUGCAUGAGUACUGAGUUAAUAAGUUGCACCCUGCCUGCAUAAGACAAAUUUCUUGUCCCCAUCCUCUAAUUCUACUAGUUAUGUUUUGUGCCAAUAAAUCACAAUCUGUUGCUGAUAUCUUUCUUGCUAAUAUUGUGACUCCUAAGUAUCUGAAUGGAAGUGCCCCUUCUUGUAUCCUGUUAAUUCACAUAAGUCCUCUAAGCAUGACUCCUCCAUAUUAGCAUUGAAAAUAUUUGACUUAUCAACAUUAGUGUAUAGCCCUGAUGAGUGAGAGAAACUUUUCAGGCCCCUAAGCAUCAAUAUGACUGAAUGGAAGUCUCCUAUGCUAAAUAAUAGCACAUCAUCAACAAAACAUAAGUGGUUGAGAUGCAGGCUUUUAUAUUUUGUAUGAUAGUGGAAUCCUUCCUGAUUAGCUACAACCUUCAUAAUCCUAGUGAAGUACUCCAUGCAUAUUAUAAACAAUAAUGGAGAUAUGGGAUCCCUUUGUCUCAAUCCUCUUUUGCCUAUGAUUUUCCCAUACAUUCCUCCAUUUAGAGCCAGUGUAUAUUGUGUUGAAGUGAUGCAAACCAUUAUCUAUCUUAUAAAUCUUUCAAGAAAAUUAAGAGCAUAUAGCAUUUCUUGAACAAACUCCCACUCAACAGUGUCAUAAUCCUUCAUGAUAUCUACUUUAAUGAGGCAACUUUUUGUAGAAUUCUUUCUAUUGUACAAUCUCACUAAGUCUUGGCAUAUAAGUAUAUUCUGCACAAUGGUUCUAUUUGCCACAAAUGCACCCUGGUUAUGUGAUAUGACUGUAGGAAGUACUUCCUUGAGUCUGUUGCAUAGCAUCUUAGAAAUUAUCUUAUAGACUGUGUUGCAGUAGGCUAUUGGUCUGUAUUCACUUACUGACUCUGCAUGGUUGCUUUUAGGUAUGAGAGUAAUGGUUGUGUUGUUCAUUAUCUUCAACAAUUUACCAUUGUCAAAAAAUUCCAACACUGCAUCACAUAUAUCUUUCCCUACUAUCUCCCAGUUGUCUUUAAAAAAUUGACUUACAUAUUCAUUAGGACCUGGGGAUUUAUCUCCUAGUAUUGCCCAUAAGGCUUAUUUAACCUCUUUUUAUGUGAAGUCAUCCUCCAGCAUGCUUCUUUAUGCCACUGAUACUAUUGCUCCUUUCCUGACCAAAUUGCUAUUGACAUGAACUCUUUGUGUAGCUUUUGUUCCCAGCAACUCUUUGUAAUAAUCCAGAAAAGCUAUUGCAAUCUCUUCUAUUUCUGUUUUUGUUUCUCCCUUGUCAUUUCUAAUAUUAAACACUCUUGUUGCAUUCCUUCUGCUCUUCAUGUAAUUGUGGAGGUAUUUUGUAUUUUGGUCACCUCCCUGAAGCCAUUGUGCUUUGCUUUUUUGUUGUAAAUAUAAUUCCCUUGCCUUGUUCCACCUCUUGCACUCAUGAAUUAGCUUGCGUUCCUCCUCUAACAGUGCCAUGUUCUGUGGAUCCUGCUGUAUAUUGCUUUGACAUGCCAUCAGAUGUCUCAUUGCUUCUUCUGCUCUCAUUUCAACAUUGCUAAAUCUUGUUCUAUUUAACUCUUGCAAGGCUUUAAGGCUUUUUUCAAGUUAUUCAACUUGCCAACUAACUGGAACAUCUUUGUACCUGGUAAUGAUGUAGUCUAGUUGCUCUGCACUUUCUGUUUGUACUCAGGGACAAGUUUCCAUAUAUUAAAAUACUUGAAUGAUCUUGUAUUAUUCUGACUACCUUUAUCCCAUUUUAUGAUUGCAGGACAAUGGUCAUACAACCCCUCAUUCAUAAAAUGAACCUCUGAUGCCGGCAGUUGAGUAAGCCAGUCUAUAUUGGUCAACACUAUGUCAAUCCUACUAUACACUCUAUCGGUCCCUUGUUGUUUGCUAUUCCAUGUAUAGAAGGCUCCCGAUGAUUUUAAUUCCUGCAAUUCACAUUGGUCUAUACAUUGUCUGAAUUCCCUCAUUUCUCUCACUAUGGCUGCCCUUCCUAUUCUCUCAUUAGAAUUGAGAAUACAGUUAAAAUCUCCCAUGAUUGCCCAUGCUCAUUGUAUCUGGUUGUGUAUAUCUUCUAUUUCUUUCCACGAUGAUCUUCUAAAUACAUGGUCAUUGAAACCAUACACCAUAGUUGUACAAAAUUCUUUACCUGUCCCUCCAUGCUUUACUUCACAAUGUAUGAGUUGCUAGUGACUCUUCCAAUGUUUACAUCAUAUAUUCUUGGAUUCCAAAGUACCUAAAUUCUACCUCCAGGGUGAUGGGAAAAGUUAGUAACAAACAACCAAUUCUCAUAAAGAUUAGGAGAAGUUGCAGUUGCUUUGUUCCUCUUAAUCUUUGUCUCCAGCAGGCCAAACAAACCAACUUUAGCAUUGUGCAGAAAUAAGUGAACCUCUUUAUGCUUUUUUGGUUUGUUUAAGCCUUUGGUGUUCCAAAAUCCUAUAUUAUCCAUUGGUAGGGGGAUGACCCCCACCCAGACUAGUCUAGGUCCAGCAUCUACCGGUCCUCCCCCAAGGUGAGAAGUGCUGGCUUGUUCAUCUCCAUUUUGUGUAUGAUCCUGUGUUUUCGGAUCGUUCGGAAUAUCAAAAGUGUUCCUUGUUGAGAUAACUUGAGUUCUGAGGUCCAUCCCCCCUUUCUCUAUGGCACUACUUUGCUCAGUCACAUUUCUAUUUCCCUUUUCUCCGAAUUGUUGCUAUGCAUAUUGUUGUUGUACACCAUGCCCAACCCCAGUAUUUCCUUGUUGUUUCUCUGCUUCUUUUGGAGGAGCCACUGUUGUCUUCUGUUUCUCCUUGUCCUGCUUUGCUUUCCCUGGCUCUUCCUUGAACAACCCCAGUAUGAUUUUUGUCUUUCUAACCUUGAAGCAUUUACAAUAUCGAUGGAGCGUUAUUUUUGUCUUUUAAACCUUUUUGAUUGUGAA